rnacentral:rRNA from 1 species
UACGUAGGGUGCAAGCGUUGUCCGAAGUUACUGGGCGUAAAGCGCGCGUAGGCGGUCUCUUAAGUCCGGGGUGAAAGGUUCAGCGCUCAACGCGAACAGUGCCCUGGAGACUGGGGGGACUUGAGUGUGGGAGGGGGCAGUGGAAUUCCGGGUGUAGCGGUGAAAUGCGUAGAUAUCCGGAGGAACACCGAUGGCGAAGGCAGCUGCCUGGCCUGACACUGACGCUGAGGUGCGAAAGCGUGGGGAGCGAACGGG